AACGCGUAUGCAAUCUACCUUGUACAGAGGGAUAGCCCAGAGAAAUUUGGAUUAAUACCUCAUAGUAUCUUCGGAAGGCAUCUUCUGAUUAUUAAAGUUCCAACGGUACAAGAUGAGCAUGCGUCCCAUUAGCUAGAUGGUAAGGUAACGGCUUACCAUGGCAACGAUGGGUAGGGGUCCUGAGAGGGAGAUCCCCCACACUGGUACUGAGACACGGACCAGACUCCUACGGGAGGCAGCAGUGAGGAAUAUUGGUCAAUGGAGGCAACUCUGAACCAGCCAUGCCGCGUGCAGGAAGACGGUCCUAUGGAUUGUAAACUGCUUUUAUACAGGAAGAAACACUGCUACGUGUAGCAGCUUGACGGUACUGUAGGAAUAAGCAUCGGCUAACUCCGUGCCAGCAGCCGCGGUAAUACGGAGGAUGCGAGCGUUAUCCGGAAUCAUUGGGUUUAAAGGGUCCGUAGGCGGCCUUAUAAGUCAGUGGUGAAAUCUCCUAGCUCAACUAGGAAACUGCCAUUGAUACUGUAGGGCUUGAAUUAUUGGGAAGUAACUAGAAUAUGUAGUGUAGCGGUGAAAUGCUUAGAUAUUACAUGG
rnacentral:rRNA from 1 species